AUUGAACGCUGGCGGCAGGCCUAACACAUGCAAGUCGAACGAGUGGCGGACGGGUGAGUAAUGUCUGGGAAACUGCCUGAUGGAGGGGGAUAACUACUGGAAACGGUAGCUAAUACCGCAUACCAUCGGAUGUGCCGAGAUGGGAUUAGCUAGUAGGUGGGGUAAAGGCUCACCUAGGCGACGAUGCCUAGCUGGUCUGAGAGGAUGACCGGCCACACUGGAACUGAGACACGGUCCAGACUCCUACGGGAGGCAGCAGUGGGGAAUAUUGCGCAAUGGGCGCAAGCCUGAUGCAGCCAUGCCGCGUGUAUGAAGAAGGCUUUCGGGUUGUAAAAUACUUUCGGCGGAGAGGCGUUAUCCACACAGGAAGCACCGGCUAACUCCGUGCCAGCAGCCGCGGUAAUAC
rnacentral:rRNA from 1 species